rnacentral:rRNA from 1 species
AAUCAACGCUGGCGGCGUGCCUCAGACAUGCAAGUCGAACGAUUAAAGCUCUCUUCGGAGAGUGUAUAGAGUGGCGCACGGGUGAGUAACACGUAAGUAAUCUACCUUCAAGUGGGGAAUAACGUCCGGAAACGGACGCUAAUACCGCAUAAUGCAGCGGCAUCGCAAGAUGACAGUUGUUAAAGAUUUAUCGCUUGAAGAGGAGCUUGCGGCAGAUUAGCUAGUUGGUAAGGUAAUGGCUUACCAAGGCUACGAUCUGUAACCGGUCUAAGAGGACGGUCGGUCACACUGACACUGUAAUAACGGGUCAGACUCCUACGGGAGGCAGCAGUCGGGAAUUUUGGGCAAUGGGCGAAAGCCUGACCCAGCAACGCCGCGUGAAGGAUGAAAUCCCUCGGGAUGUAAACUUCGCAAGAACGGGAAGAAUAAGCGAGAGUUAAUAUCUUUCGUGAUGACGGUACCGUUUGUAAGCUCCGGCUAACUCCGUGCCAGCAGCCGCA